rnacentral:rRNA from 1 species
UGCAAGCCGAGCGGUAGGGUUUCUUCGGAAACCUGAGAGCGGCGCACGGGUGCGGAACACGUGUGCAACCUACCUUUAUCAGGGGGAUAGCCUUUCGAAAGGAAGAUUAAUACCCCAUAAUAUAUUAGAUGGCAUCAUUUGAUAUUGAAAACUCCGGUGGAUAGAGAUGGGCACGCGCAAGAUUAGAUAGUUGGUGAGGUAACGGCUCACCAAGUCAGUGAUCUUUAGGGGGCCUGAGAGGGUGAUCCCCCACACUGGUACUGAGACACGGACCAGACUCCUACGGGAGGCAGCAGUGAGGAAUAUUGGACAAUGGGUGAGAGCCUGAUCCAGCCAUCCCGCGUGAAGGAUGACGGCCCUAUGGGUUGUAAACUUCUUUUGUAUAGGGAUAAACCUUUCCACGUGUGGAAAGCUGAAGGUACUAUACGAAUAAGCACCGGCUAACUCCGUGCCAGCAGCCGCGGUAAUACGGAGGGUGCAAGCGUUAUCCGGAUUUAUUGGGUUUAAAGGGUCCGUAGGCGGAMUCUGUAAGUCAGUGGUGAAAUCUCAYAGCUUAACURUGAAACUGCCAUUGAUACUGCRGGUCUUGAGUAAGGUAGARGURGCUGGAAUAAGUAGUGUAGCGGUGAARUGCAUAGAUAUUACUUAGAAYACCAAUUGCGAAGGCAGGUYACUAYKWMUKRAYUGACGCUGAUGGACGAAAGCGUGGGKAGCGAACAGGAUUAGAUACCCUGGUAGUCCACGCCGUAAACGAUGSWWACUMGYUKUUGGGUUWKYAAGWYUCRGWGRCUAAGCGAAAGUGAUAAGUWWSCCACCUGGGGA